rnacentral:tRNA from 1 species
GGAUGGAUGUCUGCCAGUAUAAUUGAUUGGUCUUGAAACCCGAAGUCUUGAUAGGAAUACCGGGGGUUCGAAUCCCUCUCCAUCCG